ACGAGGACAUUCUGGCAAGCUGAUUUAUUCAUCUUGACCUCCGCUGUGGUUAAUCCACCCGAGACAAAGAUCAGCUUCUGACAAACACUGCUUUCCUUUCCCUCAGAUAGGAAAGAAAUUCAGCAAGUUGCUUUCCGUCUCUGGCUUAGGUGUGCUUGAGAAGGAAGAUCCUGAGAGGAAAGAAGCAAAGAGCAUCUGUCCCUGGUUAAUCUCUGUGUGUUCACCGGCACUGCAUCCUGGUGUACUUGAUCAACUGGAUGCAUUUCACCAUCUUGAAGCUCUCCAAUACUAAAGAAGUUUUAAAAGAUGCUGAGGAGCCUACAGUCCAUACUGGGCACCAUGGCUGAGAUUAAGCACCACGACCAGAAGGACCUCAGGAAGAAAAGGUUUACUUCAUUUUACAACAUGGAGUCCACCGUGCAGAGAAGGAACAGUCCAUGACACACCACAGGCUCAAAGCAAUGGGCUCAAGAGAUCAUCGGCUAAAAACUUGGAGACUCUGAGAAAAAAAUGAAUCUUUCCUCCUUGACAGCAGUGUCAAGGACAUUCUGAACGUGUGGAGAGAAGUCACCAGUGACCCUCCUGACGAAGAUUCCAGUACUAGCAGGAGGCCAAGUAACCCCACACCAAUUUCCUCUUUAGUGGAGGCUGACUGGCUUUCAGUGUAUCCUUUUUGCUUGACUCACUAAGGAGCACCUCUUUGCCUUCUACAGGGAGAGUCAAAAUUCCCUGUCCCUUCUGCCAGAUACUGCCAGAGGGGCUUUCCCCCUUUGGCUCCUGGCUGAAAGCAUGGCUAAUCUGGCUGACUGAUAACAACAACAGUAAAUUCUGUAGUAACUGAACAGAGAAGAAAGGUGUGAAAAGAGGCAAGUUGACUGAUGAAUAGCAGAUCACUGCCAUCCUACAAGGAAACUUCUAGAAUGUUGAACAUUAGAGAGGAAGAAGCCCAGGGAGGAAAUAACAAAGUUCAGGAUACAGGGUUGUCGGAAGGCCUCCCUUAUUGUGCCAGAGAAGUUAAAACAGCUUGUGAGAGUACAGAAUAUCACUUCAAUUUCUCAUCAAAGUCAGGAGACCAUCUUCUCAGGCUGAACAUUGCAUAUACCAUUGGCCAGUGGGGCUUCCCAGCCAUGGCUGCCACUAAAGCCCAGAGAUGAUUUUAACAGCUGUUCUUACAAAAAUAUUUUCAACACUAGGGUACUGGAAAAGCUAGAGCUGAAAAAUAGAAUAUAAAGUCUCUUUAGAAUAAAAGGAAAUGCCUAGAAGCCCGGUAAUGAAUGCCACAGCUUACUAGAAAGGCAGAUUUAAAGAAUAAGGAGACACAUGUUAAGAGCUCAAAUUGAAAACAGGUGCUACAGCCAUCUCAAGGAGCCAUAGACUGUCAGAACUGGAGGAUACCCAAGGGCAUGGCAUCCAAUUCCCACACUUGAUGUUCCAGGAAACCCAGGUCACCAGAAGUGAAGUGACUUUUCAUUGCCACCCGCUGUUAGUGUCAUAUUAAUCUCCUAAUUCAAAAGUUAGUCUUCUCUGACCCAAAUUCUUCUGGGCAAGGUUCAAAUAAAUAUCUGCUUUGUUUUACAAAAGCUAUCAUAAAACUGAAGUUUAAAUGCGCACACACAUCUAUUCUCUCUACUGUCUGACCCUCUAAUACCUUGUUGGAGCUGUUUCAACAGCACUGGAUGAACUUAGUAUUUCAUAUGGCUCUAAACCUUGGCGAUCUUCUUGAACUCUGCACAUGGCUAUCUUACGAGGAAUGGUCCUGUAUCUCUCCAGUUUACAACUGAAUUGACACUUUUCUUUCAUGUCCUUCUCAGCAUCGACCAUACAAAAUACCUAGUACCAUCCUUCCCAAAGUGAACGAGAUGGGGACCGGGAAGCACAGUAGGGAGACACUCUUCAGGACCCAUGUUCCCAAGCUGAUACCAAUUCACUGAAUUUGUCACUAUUGAAUCAGUCACUUAACCAAUGAACAUUAUGAUUACCAGGAUAUCUCCUGCAACUCCUGUAUCCUGGGUACUUUCUGAGGAUAGAGGUAGAGUCUUUUUGCCAGGAGAAAGCUCUUUCUGCCUCUACUCAUCUCUUUAGAUGCAGAACACUUCUCACUGAGCAUCUUACAGGUUAGAAAUGAACUCUGUUUCCAUCUUCUGGUUGAAGAUUGUAGUCGGCCAUCAGUGGGAAGAGAGACCCCUUGGUCUUGCAAACUUUACAUGCCCGAGUAUAGGGGAAUGCCAGGGCCCUGAAGUGGGAGUGGAUGGGUAGGGGAGCAGGGCAGGUAGAGGGUAUAGUUGACUUUCGGG
rnacentral:lncRNA from 1 species